AAUGAAUUUGUUUUAAUUAAAAAUAUUUAUUUAUUUUUGAGAGAGAAAGUGUGAGCAGGGGAGGGGCAGAGAGAGAGGGAGACACAGAAUCCAAAGCAGGCUCAGUUGAAUGUUUUUGAAAAACAGUAUCUAGGGGCAUCUGAGUGGCUCCAUUGAUUAAGUGACCGAAUUGGCUCAGGUCAUGAUAUCACGGUUCAUGGGUUCAAGCCCCACAUCGGGCUCUAGGUUUACAGCUCAGAGCCUGGAGUCUGCUUUUGAUUCUGUGUCUCCCUCUCUUUCUGCCCCUCCCCUGCUUGUGCUCUCCUUCUCUCUCAAAAAUAAAUAAAUACACAUUUUAAAAAAUAAUAAAAAAAUAAAAGCAGUAUCUUUUUCCUUACUGGUUCUGUACUGGUUAUUAUAUAUAUAUAUAUAUAUAUAUAUACACAAUUAUGGAGAUCUAGAAGUUCCAACCUGCUCUGCUGUCUGCAGCUGGAGAAUCAGAAGAGGUGAUGGUGUAUUAGUAUGUUAAAAUGUAUGAGUAUGAAGUCUCAAGAACCAGGAAUGUGACCUCUGAGGGCGGGAGAGAGAGAUGUUCUGUGAGAAGUAAUGAGAUGAUUCAUUUUCAGAAAUACCAAAUAAAAGCUGUGCUGUCUAGUUAACAAUAGGUUUAUAAUCUAUUGGAAAUAUGUACAACUCCUCUACCCCCAAUGGAGUCCCAAACCCUUAGACACUUCACUUCCUGGUUUUCUUCCCCUCUCCAUUUCACAAGGUUUUUUCACAGGCUUUGCAAUAAGCAUGUACCAAAGAACUGAAGUCUCUGCAUCACCUCAAGGAAUGUCCGUCCAUUUGUUCCAGUCAGACUACUUUUUGCCUUACGUGGGCAUAGGCAACUUCUGGGUAAGGUUGUAACUUCUGUAGUGCUCAGCCAAUGAGGAACCAGGGGAAGGACUUGCAUGCUAGGAGAUAAAUUGCGUACUGUAACUUCCCUGAGUGUGCCUGUCCAUCAGACACCCGCUCUUGCAAGAAUGUUGAUUAAAGCAUCUCUUCACUGUGCCCUGAAUCUCCACGUCCUUCCUUUGAUUGGGUCAGUGGGCUUAUUUCUCACAUGUUCCAAUUCAGGCAAAGAGCUUCUUUCUCCUUUUUGUUCCAUCAGGCCCUCACAGAUUGAAUGAUGCCCACCCACAAUGGGGAGGGCAAUCUACUGAGUCCACUGAUUCAAAUGCUAAUCUCUCUCAGAAACACCCUCAUAGACAGAUGCACCCACAAAUGUUUUAGCAGUUAUCUGGGCAUCUUUUAGCCAACUCAAGUUGAUACAUCAAAUGUACCAUCACAAGGAGUAAUAACCAGGGUAUAAAAACCCCAUCAGAGUGAAGGACUCAAGGGAGAAUGCCUGGAUCAACCUCUCUUGCUGAUAUAUGAGACCUAUAGUCCUACUUAGGUGUAGUUUUUGCUGCCUCAGAAUUAACUAUUAUGAAAAUUUAUCUUACAACAUUUUCAUUUUGGUCUGAUAUUCAACAUUUCUGUGAUGAAUUGGUAAGUCCAUGAGGGAACAGGAUGGCUGAAGAAAUGUUGGAGGGAUGGAUCCGCUGAUGAAACCAUAUGCCAAUGACAAAGACAUCUGGUGUCAGCACCUUGUCCUCUGCCAUCUUGGGGGAAUGGUGUUAGCAAGUUUCCAUCAGAGGAAUCUCUUCAAAGAGCUUCCAGGCUAUAAACAGAUUGUUUCCUUUUUCGUGUAAUGCAAGCAGGUGGCCUUCAAUUCAGCUCAAAGGACAUAGAUCAAAUAUGGUUGCUUUUCAUGAAAGUUCCCAUAAAAUUAAAUGAGGUAGUUAAAAUCCUCCUCCAAGAGCUAGAGGUAGUGAUUGCUUUGCUCUUGAAGAAGCUAAAAUAAAAUGGGAAAUGUGGUUGAUAAAUGCACCAUUGCACCAUCCUGGCUGGUAGCUUCAUUAAUAUGAUGUUUGGUCCCAGAAGCCAGUAGUCAACUAAAGCCACUAUGAGAAUCAGCUAAUGGAAAUCUGUGAGGCGAGAAAAGAGGCCACACUGAGAAAGGAAAUAUCUCAGGCUGUGACCAUUGCUGAGACCAUUCCACAGUGUGUGGAAAAGACAAGAAGUCUCAGUGAUACAAGAAUCCUCAGUGCAAUGAAAAGACCACCUGUGGGAUGGGUAGCAUUAAGUCUUUCAGCUCAGUUCAAUGUAGCUUAGGGUAGGAGUAGCUUUUCAUGGCACAAAAUAAAAAUAGGAAAGUAAAAUGCCCCCUCCAAUCCAGAAAAUUUAAGCAAUAUAUAUUUUGCCUUUGUGGCAGUGAUCAAUAUCGUAUAAUAAUCACUCACUUAUUUGUUCUGUGUAAUCCAUCCAUUCCUUUGUUCAUGGUAAAGGAAACAUCAAGAUGACAAACCUCUUUGAUGAAAAGUCAGGCUAAUGAAUAUACACUUAAAAAAACAAAAUUCAACUCUCAAAAUUUGAGAUUUUAUUGACUUUAUUCAAUGAUUCAUGAAUUGGGCAGUAUUUCAUCUAGCAGAUGAAAAGGAGCUCCAAGGCGCUGUAUAAAACGAAAGACAUUUCUAGGCAGAUGUCAGCUGGAACAAGGAGGCAGAAAGCAGAUUGAUUAUGGCAAGGUCACUUUCCUUUAGGAGAUGGCAGAAGUCUGUCAGACAGAUCCCCAACUAGCGCUGAUCAGGUGAUUCCUGAUUGACUGAUUUAAGAUUCUAUUUCUGGGAGAGGCUGAAACUGUAAUUAAGUUAGGUCUUGGCUUGGUGAUUUGGGGCUUUGCAUAAGCAACACACACACACACACACACACAGCUGAGGAAAUUCUGGAAAAAAAAUGGAGAAAGUAGGAGAAUGUAUCCUGAAGGCAUACAGGUUAAACUUAUGUAAAUACAUUAUUAGUGUUGUCAAAAUCUAGAUAAUCUAGUAAAAUCAGAGAAACAAAAGGCAUAACAGAGAAUUGAUGAGCAAGAAACUGUAAAAAUUUAGGAAUGCAUAUCAAAAGGUAUUGGAAUUUGUUUCUCUGGGUAAAUUUGCUCUUCCUUGGCCUCUGACCUUUGUGAAAUCAUGCAGGUGGAGACACCCCAGCAAGGUCAUGACAGAAAAUACAUGAAUGUAGGUGGAUAAAGAACUGGAAUACUGCAUCACAAAUCUGACACAAGUCAUCUGGAGUUAGCAUCAGACUCCCAGAUUAAGGGUACAGUCCCUAACAUGACUGCCCUUAUUUCAGAUGUCAGCCACAAGUUUGAGGGUCCCCACUUGUCCUCUCACCAACUGGAUUUAAAUAUGGAGGGUCCCCUUUCGGGUUAGAUAAUUUGUUAAAAUGACUCAGAGAACUCAGGAAAACGCCAUACUUAGAAUUACAGUUUAUUAUAAAUGAUACUAAUAAAGACCAUAACUGAACUCAAGGGGUUCAGUACUUGAAGUGCAUCAAAUUGAACACAACCCAAGGAAGUGUUGAAAGCAAAGAGCUUUUUAUUAUUUGUUACAGGUAAGGAGACAGCAAGAUAGCUCUCAAAACACUAUGUCCUUGUGGGGUUAGUACAGGAAGCUUCUAUUCAGUGUAUUACGGGGUAGGGGCAAGGACCUUGCAUAUACGUUUUUGGGGAGGAAGAAAUUCUUCUGCUCUUCAUGGUCCUUCUAGCUUGACUAAGAAUCAAAUUGACAUGAGACUGAUUAACAGGAGAAAGUGAAAUUAAAUAGGUGUACCUAUGCGGAUUCCACACAGACAUGGAAAUUCCAAAGACAAUGAGGCAACUUGAAGCUUCUAUGAACUAGAGAGCUGGUAGGGUCUAAGGAUACAAAGGGGCAGAAGGCCAUUAGCAGGAAGAUGAAAAUGAGAUAUUUGAAAAACAAAGUUGCCCUAUUAUGUAGUUGAGUUUCUAAGGUAAAGAGAAAUUUCUGUUAAUAGUUCUCUUUGAUGAAAAAUCAGGCUAAUGAAUAUCAGGCAAGCCAUUAAGGGGAAGGUAAAGAGCUUCUCCUCAAUUGGCUGGAUUUUGAUUGUUUUUAACUCAAUGUUCAUGUCAAAGUGGCCCAUUUUUAGGAGGCAUGUCUCCCACAACAUUAAAGAACUCAUACAUAUUCUAUUAUUUAUGCACUUCAGUUAAAUUGUGCAUGCCUAACACAUCAACCUGCUAGUGCAUGCAUCGUAUGUUCAAAAAAUGGUGGCAAACUACCUAUAGGAGAAGAUCUUAGUUUUAUAAUGAGCUAAAGAUAUCUUCGGGACAACUCAGGGGGGCUUCUGUGCAGGUCCUCAGUAAGAGGCUAUCAGGUGAGACAUACAUAGCAAGGGGCUGUCAGGUGAAAUACCUAACCGGUGUGUCCUUGGCUGAACCUGUUGGUUCUGCAAAAUAAAACACAUUCUUCCAUGCUUUUGCCCCUUACCCCUCUUCCCUUCUGAUAGAUUUUAGCCCUUUGAUUUGAAUAGCUUCUUAUUGCAUCUUGGCUAACAGUACCAGCCAAAUGAAAAAACAUGUAGGGUGAAAUAUAAUUAUAAGGUCAAGUGAAGCCCUUAUACCAGAACAUAUUAAAACUUCAGGAAUUUCAUGUAAUUUCUAGAACUAUAGCACUUACCUGAACAACAUAAGAAAUUUUAUCAUUGUUUGCUUGACAGUGCUUCCCAUGUAAUGUAACAUACCAAAUAGACAAGCCUAAUUAGUCAAAAAGACUUCAUUUAUGAUUAAAAUCUGGGGGAAGUUUCAAAGUACAUUCCUAGAUAGGAUCACAGAUGAUUAUAAAUUUAAUAUUUACAUUUAACCAAGGUGGCAGUGAGGGAUUGUAUAGGAAGUUACAUAGUUGUUAGCAAAACCCAGCUUCUUUAAUACUGACAAGUUUCAUUUCUAUUAAGUAAUCAAAGACCUGAUAAAGACAACACAUAGAAGCUUUAGUUUUCUGGGCAGAUCAAGAAGAAAAAAACUUUGUUUACACUUUCUAAGAGCAGACCAACAAAGAAAACUUUCUCUUUUUAACAGAGAGAAAGGCAGAUUUUUAUCUUUACCAGUGUUCUUUUAUUAUUUUAUUUAUUUUUAAAUGUUUAUUUACUUCUGAGACAGAGAGAGAACAUGAGUGGGGGAGGGGCAGAGAGGGAGACACAGAAUCCAAAGCAGGUUCCAGGCUGUGAGCUGUCAGCACAGAGCCUGAUGCGGGGCUCGAACUCACAAACCGUGAGAUCAUGACCUGAGCCAAAGUCGGUUGCUCAACAGAAUGAGCCACCCAGGCGCCCCACUAGUGUACUUUUAAAAUCCAUCCAUUUCGGUCUUAGUCCUGACCACCAAAAUCUUCUCCAAAGAUUUUCCUUCACAAACCUUCUAAAACUUUCUUUUUCUGUCAACAAAAUGUAUUCUUCUUAUACCUUCCUUACACAUUUCUGACUUCUGUGCAUACAAAGUUGCUUUCCUUAUCAUUUCCAUCAGUCCUAAUUACAUUUAGCAGAAUUUUAACUUAGAAACCUUAGUCUCCAGUGAAAAUUAAGUAGUAACCAAUUGUGAACUAUCUGUCACAUAACAAUUCCUUAGAUUGGCAAAUUUAUAAAUGCUUUUCAUAAUUUCUAAAAACAUAUGUUUUCCCAUAGUACAAUCUUUCAGUAAGGCAUAAAACGUGUUUACCAACAGACUCAAGUAUCCUCAGUUUCUCCAUGAUGGGAGGCCAAAAGCACAAACUUAUUCAUUAACUCAUGCUUUAGUAUUUUAUCUUCUUUGGAAAAGAUUUAGAUAGCCAGUGAGUUCAACCCAACUUAUCAUUUAACUUAGCAAAACUUUAUAAAGUUUCAGGUUACCAAAGAUUUUGAAAGCUACUUAAAAAUUUUACCUAGCGGCACAUGGGUGGCUCAGUCGGUUGAGUGUUGGACUUUGGUUCAGGUCAUGAUCUCGCAGUCUGUGAGUUCAAGCCCUGCAUCGGGCUCUGUGCUGACAGCUCAAAGCCUGGAGCCUACUUCAGAUUCUGUGACUCCCUCUCCCUCUGCCCCUCCCCCACUCAUGCUAUGUCUCUCUCUGUCUCUCUCUCUCUCUGUCAAAAAUAAAUAAACAUUAAAAAAAUGUUUUUUAUACCUACUUGUUCUUAACAAUUACCCAUGAAAACUCUUAUGAGACAGACAAAAUUAACCAUCAUUUUAAGCCUUUUUUGCUGACAAAUUGCAACAGAGAUAACAUGAGCUUAUUUGACCUUUAGUAAACCUUGGUGAAAUAGUUUUAUAUUUAAUGUUGAUAACUCUAUAGACAUGUCUAUCAUAAUUAAACUAACAAACUUACAUUAGCCUUAAUACAGAAUAUGUUGCACCAAUGCCCAGUAAAAGUCAAUCAAUUGUUUCCCCAUGAUUGAUUUUACUUGGGGCACCUGUGGGGAAAUCUAAAGUGGGCAGUUUAAGUCCAGGGGAAUUCUUGGGCCCCUUCAUGCUGAUUUGGGAAGUGCUUCAGCUUGAACCUCAUAAGGAGGUGGCCUAACAGCUUAGAGUGCUCUGCUCCUUGUGAGGGAAGGAGGAACAAGAGCCAAUGGCACUGGAGGAUGGUAUCAGAGCCAGUUGAUUCAAGCCAUGACCAUGGUGGUGCAGAAACAGCAGGAGGGGGAAGUGGGGGCAGAAGAGGUGAGGUGCCACCAUCAGGGCUGGAGGUGGAUAAAAGGCCAGACAGAAGAAAGAGGACUCCAGGUCCUAAAGCUCAUCAACUUGGACAGAUGAACAGAUAGAUGCACGUUUUCUUUCCAUCAACAAAAAGUGAAAACAGGCAGUCCAUGUUGAGAUGGAGAAAACAGGGAAACAAAAGGAGUUUCAGCAGCUGCUUGGAAAUAUUCCUUAAAGUCCCCAUCCUGAGGUAGACUAACCGCAGGCAAUUGGCUCCAAUUAUCAUAGCCAUUAACCUGGAAACGAAUAAGGGAGAAGCCCCCACAUACAACAAGUGUCAGACAACAUUCAUCUAGUCCUCUCAAGAUGUAUUUCAAAUCUGAUACACACAGAAGAAGAAGCAAAAAAGAGGAGAUGAAUUACUCAGGACAAAAAGGGAGGCAUGUACAUGAUCUUGGCAGCAACCUGUUUUUAAGAGAGGCAAAAAGGGGGCACAGAGAGAACAUGACAGAACACAGAUGAUAUAGCGGAUUAACAGAAGCUUCUACUUCUGUAGAAACAGCUGAACUGAUGGUGGAUUUGAGGAGUAGAGGGGGAAGAGAGGGGUGUUCUCAGGCCCCCUAAAGAAGUAUGGACAGAUCAGGAUUUGGGUACAGGGCCAUAACAACCUAACCAUACAGCAUUUUGGUCAGUUUUUCUGGUCAUACUUCUCCAUCCUCUAGUUUAUAUUGAGGCCAACAUAGUUACAAAAGAAGCAGAUUUGGGAAGGAAGCAUAUGAGGUGUUGGGGUCAAACUUUUUCCAGUUUCUCAAGAUACAUCCAACAAGAGUGUUGGAUAGGAUUAAGGGUUUAGAGGAAAGAUAAACAGUGAGUCUCCUGGGCUAGACGCAUCCUUGCUGAACCCCAAGAACAUUGCCUUGGAUAGGCUGGGCCCCUGGGGCAUCUCUUUGGAUCCAUCAAACUAUCAUCCCUGGUGCAGGUGGGCAUCCCCGCCCAACCUGCUUACCUCUUUGGCCUGGCAUGCAUCCUGAAGAGGGAACCCCUGCCAAUCCUUCUUUUCAAUCAACAUGAGUUUCCUUGGGAAAUGGGAGAAAAGUCUCCCCUACACUGAGAUUGCAUUUAAUCUGGUGAACCAAUGGUUUUUGUUUCUUUCUUUUUUAGGCCUUUUCCCCAGUAGAUCAGAAGAAAGAGAGAGAAGAACAAAGGAGAACAGUGACUAAGCAAUUCUCCAGCACAAGAAAGGCAAGAGUUGGAGACUUACUGAUGAAGAGGUCCCUUCAUGGUCACCAAAAAGAUGUUGCCGGAAUGGUGUCUCUUAAAAGUGGACAGCCAGAGUGAAGGAGCCAGAUAAAGAAGAGUACAUCCUUCAUGAUGUCACUUAUAUGAAGGUGUAGAAAAUGCAAAUUAAUCUAUAGUGUUGACUACAUUUCCCAGCCUCCUUUCAAACGGGUGUGGUCACAUGACCAAAUUCUCUCCAGUGGAAGGCUUUUCCCCUUUCUUUGUGGCAUUUACAGACCAGCUACCCUCACUGGAAAUUGAGGCCACCUCACCCAGGGCCACAUGCAGCAGGAUUCCACCAGUGCUGCUGUCACUGCUGUCAUCCCCACCAGGUCAGAGGCUCUGAUCCCAGAGUUGGUACAGGUAGUAUUUUAAGAGUGAGUUCCAAAAAUGUAAGCUGAGUUUCCCUGGUUCUUUCUAGUCUACACAGAUGCACAAAUGGGGCUACCAUAAGGUAGUAAGCCAAAUUUCAGUGUCUCUUCCAAACUCCUAAAAGCCUCCUUCUCUGUCCAAGUACUGCUGGGCUCUUAGGAAAGUCUUACAGAUGCUCAUAAAUCCAGUCAUCCAGGUAUACUUUCAUUUUGCUCCUGCGAGCAUCGCCCCCAAUAAAUAAGUUCUCAAGGUACAAAAUCCCAUACUGGGGUAUGUCUGUACCCAGGGGGAAAGGUCUUUCCCUCUCUUUCAUGUUCCACUUCAUUAGAGGGCUGCCCAAGCAAUGCUUGUGCGCUCCAGGGUCUUACAGAACUUCUGGAACUGCAGAUUCAUAUUGACAUUCAGUCUUCCUUUUGCCUGGGAAGGAGGACUAGAGAUGAUGACAAAUUACAUCCACUUACUCUUUAAUUCAACAAAUAUUUCCUGAAUUCCUUUUCCAUGCUAGCCACGUGGUACAAGAUACAUGUGGUCUCUGUACCCAUGGAGUUUACAGCCUGUUGCAAGAUGAAAACAAAACACACAACAACAAAAGUCACUUAAAAUUUUACAUUCAAGACUUUGUUAUUGGGUCCAGUUCAUUGUGGAUGAUUGCUGCUUCUGCUUGGGUGAGUUUUGUGCAUGAAGCUUGGCAACGCUCAGGCAAAUAGAUGCUGACAGUCUGCCUCACCAUGUGGGGCACAACCCCUCCUUAUCCCAUGGGGCCUUGUGCAGGAGAUUAAUCCUUGCUGUGCUAAAAUUGUCUGAUUUUUUUUCACACUUAGUGACAGUUAAAGAAAAACAUGAACUGUGUUUUCCCAAGAGCUUUCUCCUUACCAUUCCACACCAUGGUUCCUAAACUCUCCAUUUCCUGAAGCAAAACUGGAUAGCAAAGAGAAUGGCCUGGUGGCUCUGAUAAUAACACUGUAAGAGGAGGCCAAGGAUUUGUUAACCCUGGCAGAAGAGGGAGGCAGGCCAGUGCAGACAUGGGGAGGUAGGAAAUUUUGAGAGAAGGUGAAAGGAAGGCUCACAGAGGGGGAAGUGGAAGGUUGAAGAAAGAAGUACGGGAGGAACUGAGGGAGGUCUUCGAGGCACAUUCUCUGUGGGCCUAGGAAACCCCACACAGAGAUAAACCGAAGUUCUGGGCAGCAGGUACAAGGCAGGGAGCACCUAGUGCAUCCCUCUGAGACUCUAUACUGUUUGGAUUUGGGCCUUGAAAACCUUGAGUACCAAUCUUCCUUGGGGUUUUACAUGAGAAUGAAAAGUCUCCCCAGCUACCAAAUAACACAUGAAGGAGAUGUAUUCUUACCUCACUUUCUAUGGAAAUGAAAGGAUCUCAUAGAAAACAUCCAGUGAACAAACAGUAAGACUGAGAGACCCUUUGUCUGCUUCUCAUCCUCUCCCAGGUCUCCCCACUGCACGUCUGUCUCCAUGUAGCCCAGAGAAACUAAACUCAGUUUGGUGGUCAUCCGGGGUUGAAAUCCAGCAUGGAAUAUUAGCUUCCUGUCCAAGAAAAUCCAGAUAUAUAAUUUUUUUACACCAUUAAAAUGUCAGAUUUCCUUUCUUAUUUUCUCCCAUCCAAGUACUAACCAAUCUCAACCCUGUUUAGCUUCUGAGACCAGAAGAGAUUGGGAGUGUUCAGGGUGGUAUGACUGUAGACACCUUUUUUAUUUUCUUAAUUUCUGGUUCUGUGGCUUGGAAUACAGAAACUUUCAGUCCCUCCUUUUGUGAAGUGUCUAUUGAUCAGGAAACAUACCCUAUAAUAACAUUAAGACAAGAUAUUACCUGAUGGGUUCAUGUGAUUAUUUCCUCAAGUGAGAGAUUCUUUCAUAAUUUGAAUAAUUUCAUUCUAUGAGUAGAGUGUUCUGUAAAUGAUGUUAUAAAGUAAGUUCAACGACUUAAAAGGCCCAUCCCAUUAAAGGGAGGAUAGAUCUCGGUAGAGAAAUUUCCUCCUCUGCCUUGUACCUCUAACCCCUCACUACUCCAUACAGGGUUUUUGUGGAACACAUAGGCCACGCCUCACUCCAGGUGGACACCUCGUCAAGACUGGAGGAAUACCUGCAGGCGGUGGAAGCUACACUGAAUGUGGCCCCUGCUGUGGUCAGUGGCAAAUGGACAGGCAACUCCUCCAGUGGAGAAGUUUGAACGCUGUUUUCCAGAGACAUGAUGUAAACUUCAAGCCUCGGCUGAUGAUCAAGUUGUGUAGUGUAGUGUAGUUGUGUAGGUUGUGUAGUUGUCACAAACUAUCUAUAAUGAAGGGAGGGACUCCAGCAGUACAGAGAAGGAGGUGUGCCACUUGUAUCACUAUUGCCCUCGGAUCAGGGGACAGGUCAUUAUGAAGUUCUUGAGUAAUGCAUGAGAUGAAUGCAUUAUAGAUGGGCAUUCUCCUCAGAUGAAUGUAUCAUAGAUGGGAGUAUAGUCUAUGGCAUGAUGCCUAAAAUUAGGCAAUUAGAAGUCUCAGGUUGUCACUUUUUUUCAUUUGUUUGUGUUUUAUUUUUGUUUUUAAUUUCAGAGAGAGAGGGAGAGAGAGAGAGAGAGAGAGAGAGAGAUGGUGGGGGAGAAGGGCAGAGGGAGAGAGAGAGAAUCUCAAGCAGGCUCCACACUGAGCUCAGAGCCAGACACAGGGCUCAAUCCCAUGACCCUGGGAACAGGACCUAAAUCAAAAUCAAGAGUGGGACACUCAACCGACUGAGCCACCCAGGUGCCCCAGGUUGUCACUUUUGGUGCCUUGAAUGGGACAUGGUGGUCUGUCCCAGGAGCAUAGCAGCAGAAUUUAGCACUUGUAUCAGUCUUCUUUGAUUAAGACAUUAUCAGCCCUCUCCCAUCCUGGCCACUGACCCCCUCAACCACCACCACAGUGGAUCCUAGUCAAGCACUAAGUCUGCUCUUUGUACUUAGGUUAGUUCCACCCAAGCAUCAAGAGCUAUGAAGUUCAUUGGGAAGAUCUCCAAGGACAGUUUUUGCUGCCUGCAAUCCAGCAGUCAUGAUAGGUUAUCUAUCCACCUGCCAGCUUUGGUUCCCUGAUAUGCAAAUGAUUUAGAAUUAGAAGCACACAGAAAAUAGCUGUAUUACUGACACCCCUGCCUCUGAUCUCAGUUCCCUUCAUAUCAUUCUUUUUUAAAAAAAAUUUUCACGUUUUUAUUUAUUUUUGAGACAGAGAGAAAGCAUGAGCUGGGGAGAGGCAGACAGAGAGGGAGACAAAAACUGAAGCUGGCUUUGUGCUGACAGCAGAGAGCUCAAUGUGGGGCUCAAACUCAUGAGCAAUGAGAUCAUGACCUGAGCUGUAGUCAGACGACACCCAGGUGCCCCCCUUCAUAUCAUUCUUUAUAACAUUAUGCAAAUCUGAUCAUACCCAGGCUCAAUUA